GAUGAAGAACGUAGCGAAAUGCGAUAAUUAAUGUGAAUUGCAGAAUUCAGUGAAUCAUCGAGUCUUUGAACGCACAUUGCGCCCCCUGGUAUUCCGGGGGGCAUGCCUGUCCGAGCGUCAUUGCUGCCCUCAAGCCCGGCUUGUGUGUUGGGCCCUGCUCCCCCGGGGGCAGGCCCGAAAGGCAGUGGCGGCACCGCGUCCGAUCCUCGAGCGUAUGGGGCUUUGUCACCCGCUCUGUAGGCCCGGCCGGCGCUUGCCGACCCCCAUCAAUCUUUUUUCAGGUUGACCUCGGAUCAGGUAGGGAUACCCGCUGAACUUAAGCAUAUAAAUAAGCGGAGGA
rnacentral:misc_RNA from 1 species